rnacentral:siRNA from 1 species
GGUUUCGGGCCUGGGAGGAUUACG